ACAUACAAUAAGUGAAAACAGUAUUUUUUCUAGCUCACCACCAGGUGAUGAAUUUUCUCCCCUUUCAGACUAAUAAUACAUGAGUGUUGGCUGAACAGAGCUAAAGAAGCACGUGCCAUUUUCUGAGAGAAAUUACAUCACCCCGUGUCCUAUUUCACCUACUCUACAUACAGCAGACCGAGGUUUAAUUUUUAAUUCAGGCUCUAGCUUAUUUCUGUGCCGUAUUUAGAGAGGGGGCCAGCAGUCGCCGUUUCGGCACCGAGCAGCGUUUCCCGCCGCAGUAGAAGCUGUAGCUUUUCCAGCGCACCGUAGACGGAAACGCCCGCGCUGCCACCCUCACCUCCCGCACAGGAAGCCAGGCGGCAGUCUCGGCCCAGCCCGCGGAACGAGCGCCAGCCUCUGAUUGGCUGGACGGAGCAGCCAAUCAGACAGUGGCUCUUCACAUUCUGCCCAGCAACAAAAGCCCAUGAGGCCAUGCGUGAAAACUCCUCCAGGAUGCGGUAUCAUGCCAGGUGCGCAAGGAAACCGAAGCGCUGGAAAACGACGUAAGGCAAAGGAAAGUUAGGGAGUUUCUACUUAAGAGCUGGAGUUUUACAACAGCGUUAGCCCGUGAGUGCAGUCAGAGGGAAUCUUUUAACGCGUAAGGGUUCUUUCAGCGGAUGAGGUGGGAAACCACCGAGCACCCAGGCCUGCACAAGCCUGAAACAAAUAAGCAAUGUCUGUCCUGAGUGUGUGCUUAUUGACCUAUUGCACACUGGGCAACAUGUCCAUUUCUCAGACAAGACAACUGAGUUUCUGUUAUAUUAGUGUUGAAUCAUAAAACUGCUGGGAGCCUAUCUGCGUUCAAGCAUGGCAGUUUUUAACUUCUCCUCCGUUACUGGGCAGUGCCUGCGUUUCUCUAGCAUUCCAGCAGGAGCAUCAAAAUGGAGUUCUUCCUUAAGGCCUCUGCCUUGGAAGCGGUGGUGAUUACCCAGCACCCUUGCACUCUACCCUCUGAAGAACUGCCCUCUGAAGAAUCAGCUCAGUAAAACAUGAUGUCUGCAUGGAUCUAUGCUCACUCAGAGAACUACCCAAACAACGCUACAGAUGAAUUUUCAAGUGAUAAUUUACAGACUAAGGAUACGCAACUACGUGAUGCAACUGCCUUUCAAACGUUUGCAACCUCGCAUCAGUCUCAGAAUUCUGAAAUCAGGGCACCACUGUUAAGUGACAUCAAAGGUCAUUUACCAAAUGCUAGAAGGAAUCUAGCAACAAAAAAAGUGAUGCUGAUUUUAAAAGGCAAUAAAUGCUUUCCAUGCAAACAAA